GGUUAAGGCCACACCCCCUGCUCAGGACUCUGGCAUACCGACUUAUACUGCACAACAGAGGUGGAAGGCAGCUGUUGCUGUACUGGGGAUACUUGCAUGAUCAGAGCCCCAACAUAAAGAGCCAUAAGCAUUUUACCCUCAGUGGUCAAGGAAGGCUACCAGACCAAGAACUAAGAACUGUAGAAAGUGACCAGCCUGCCUUGGGGUGGGGAGUCACUCUCACCCAAUCCAAGAACUGACAUGGCACUGUAAACAAGAGGGGCAGACCCUGCUGAAAAGUUCUGAAGAAUUUUGAAACCUCACAGGGUCUCUGUGUGGAAGGUGCCAGAAGAGGGGUGAUUGAGAGCACAAGAGCGAGCCUCCCUGCUCUCAGUUCUGGUGCCUGGCCCCACCAUGAGGGCCAGGAGGAAUAACAACAGGAAAAGUCCUGCUCAGUCCCUGCAGCCCUCGGAUGGAGCAUGUUCAGUGCAGAAGGCAUAUUUGGAGAAUUCAGUACCCAGCUUUUAACAAUCCUUAUUCAAACUGCAAUUUUCAGAAGCUAAUAACUCUGACAAGACUGUGUGGAUUUUCACAAGGUCAGCAAAAAGCACCUCUCUGAUCCCAGGCCUCUCUACCUUCUUCCCAGGCCCAAACUUUAAAUCCUUGUUCCUAAGCAUAAAAGGUGCUGGAACUCAUUAAUAAAACUGUUGUUAAAAAAAUGUGAACAUGGCAAAACAACUUAUUUUCUUCUAACCUCUUGUAUCACGAUCACUGGAACUAGAAUCAGACAUCCCGUGUUCCCUGGAGGGAUUAUUGGUGAUGAAACACUGGUGGAACAGGGAACGUGGGUAGUUAGGCUGAAAGAACUCAGCCACGUGGACAGAGCAGGCCACAGAGUUUAAUAAUGUUUCACUUGUUCAACUUAAACUGUGUUCACCUUCACGCUUCGUGAAUGAAACACGUCUCCCAGCUGAAUAGUUGGGUGGUUUUUGAACAGCUGAAUAGUUUUUGCUGAAACUUACCAAAAAAAAAAAAAAAAAAUCAAUCUGAGACAGAUAUCCAGCAAGGACAAUUUCAGCCCCAAAGUCUGCCAAA